AAACCCGCCAAAAUUAUUAUUUUCCAUUCCUGAAUGGAAAAUGCAACCCUGUUCUUUACGCCAUAUCGCCGCGUUACUACAUUAUAGUAAAGGCGUUCCUACACCGAACAGCUGACACACAACCAAACACAUACGAAACAUACAACAAGAAGAAGAAACUCAUAAUAAAUCACAUGCAAACAAACAAUACCAAAAAAAACAAUAAAAUAUAUACAUAUAAACGUGUCCAAGUAAAUAUAAAAAAGAAUAACAAAAAAACACAGCCUUAAACAACAACCAUCACUACAGAAAACAUCAGCAACGAAAUCCACAGGCUUAACAUCUAGGACAAAACAACAAACAAAUUGAAACAUAUAAACAAAUUAACUAAUAAACAACAGAUAAAACACAAACAAACCACAGUGCCAGCAGCUCUACUUUAGGUUCAGAUCACCCGCAACAAUCUAUACAGUUUCGAAGUAUGUAUUUGAAUUCUUGCUUUCUUGUAUGCAUAUUCAAUGUGUAUGUAUAAAAACAUCCAAUUAGAUAAAGCCAAUUCAAAACGUAUACUAUAAAUUUGUUGAUGUUAGCACAUAGGUAAAAAAUAGGUUUUUAUUUUUAGAAAAAUAAUAUAAAAAUAAUUAAGCAUGGAAAUAACCUCUAUAAACAAAA